rnacentral:rRNA from 1 species
CCUACGGGAGGCAGCAGUGGGGAAUAUUGGACAAUGGGCGCAAGCCUGAUCCAGCCAUGCCGCGUGUGUGAAGAAGGCCUUCGGGUUGUAAAGCACUUUUAUCCGGAAAGAAAAGCUUUGGGUUAAUACCCUGAAGUCAUGACGGUACCGGAAGAAUAAGCACCGGCUAACUUCGUGCCAGCAGCCGCGGUAAUACGAAGGGUGCAAGCGUUACUCGGAAUUACUGGGCGUAAAGCGUGCGUAGGUGGUUUGUUAAGUCUGAUGUGAAAGCCCUAGGCUCAACCUGGGAAUUGCAUUGGAUACUGGCAGGCUAGAGUGCGGUAGAGGAUAGUGGAAUUCCCGGUGUAGCAGUGAAAUGCGUAGAGAUCGGGAGGAACAUCUGUGGCGAAGGCGACUAUCUGGGCCAGCACUGACACUGAGGCACGAAAGCGUGGGGAGCAAACAGGGUUAGAUACCCUGGUAGUCCACGCCCUAAACGAUGCGAACUGGAUGUUGGGUGCAACUAGGCACUCAGUAUCGAAGCUAACGCGUUAAGUUCGCCGCCUGGGGAGUACGGUCGCAAGCUGAAACUCAAAGAGUAGUGCGNGNGAGNGCGACGACGACGACGAGGAGGAGG